AGAAGACCCCAUGGAGCUUCAAACCCAACUACACCCCUAGNUCUUAUAGCCCCACAACCCCCCUAGGCGCCGUGUGCUUGGUUUUAGGUUGGGGCGACCGCGGAGUACAAUAAAACCUCCACAAUGAAUGGGAACACCCCCUUAUCUGAGGGCCNCACCCCCUAAGAAUUAGAACACUAACAUAAAAUGAUCCAUUACUUGAUCAAUGAACCAAGUUACCCUGGGGAUAACAGCGCAAUCCAUUUCAAGAGCCCCUAUCGACAAAUGGGUUUACNACCUCGAUGUUGGAUCAGGGNACCCCAGUGGUGCAGCAGCUACUAACGGUUCGUUUGUUCAACGAUUAAAACCCU
rnacentral:rRNA from 1 species